CUAUAUGUUAUAAAAGAGAGUCAAAUGGGUUUUUACAAUCUUUAAUUCCAUUUGAGCAUUUCCAAAUACUAGUACCAUAUUUGAAUUCUCAUAUUUCUCAGCUCUUCAAAAUGAUAUUUGAAUUUUGAAUCAAAAGCUAUUUGCAAAAGACAAAACAGAAAAAGGAAAAAGAAAAGAAAACUUACCUCAGGCCCGAGCCGGCCCAGCAGCCGCCUCAGCCCAAUCUCUCGCGCGCCCCGCAACCCCGCCGCGGCCCCGUUUCUUCCGCACGCGCCGCGUUCCGCCUUCUCGCAUCGAAAGCGCAUUCUCAGAAAUGCACCUUGUCUCACAAGGGGUUCUUCCCUCUGCUUUUCUUCUUCCUGGCCAGUGAGCCCCCCC
rnacentral:lncRNA from 1 species